rnacentral:lncRNA from 1 species
UUUAUUUUAUUUUUUGUCCUUAUGCUUCAUUUUCAUGGGUUCCCUUCUCUUUCUGAAUGUCUUUUUGUAGGUAGUUCUAGAUAGGGUGUAAAUGGUGGAUGCCAAUACUAGACCUGUGCAGUUUUGUCUUAUUUUUGUUCCAUUUUCACCCUCCUAAAUAAGUAUAAAUAAGGAUUACUGGUUGUGUAUUUUUUUCAUUGCAGGAACUCUUUGUUAUCACUGCAAAUGGGAUUCUUCUCCAUUGCGCAUUUAUCUGAGUCGAAAAUGAGCUUCAGUAGCUCUGCUGAAGGUCUAAUUAAUUCUUAUUCUCCUUUUAAUUUGUAUGUACUCUUAGCUGUUUAAGCUAUGAUCUUUCAUAAAUUAAGGAAAAACGUUUAGCCCAAUUUUAAAUUGACCUUCGAAUUUAUUAGUUAGCCAAACAUCUUGAAGGGCAUUUGAGUUUGGAAGGACUAAUGUUGUCAGGCCAAGAGGGAGACACGAAGCUACAAUCGUUUGGCUUCAUGGCCUUGGUGAUAGAGGCUCAAGGUAUAACAAUCUGCUUCAGUCAUAUAACAAAUGGAGCUUGCAGUUUUUUGUUUCUUGAUUGAUAAGGAGUCCCGAAGCACUUAUCAUUAAUUAUAUUCCUAUUGAAAUGCAUGAAAGAAUCUACUUGCAAUUGCUAGUAUUGGAAUGCGGAAGCGGAAUUAAUUAGAAAUUAAAAUUUUCUUUAAUUCAAUAAGUAAGAUCGUCUAGAUGUUCACGUGUAUGUUAUAACAAAAUUAAAGGAUUCGAAUCUUUUAGCUAAGUUCAAUGAUCAACCUUGAAUAAACUCUGAUCCGCGAACUUCCAUCUCCUUUAAUUACAAGGAUUUUGGUGCUUCAAACCUUCAAAUCUUCUAUAGUAUUCUCCAACGCAAAGACUACAUUGGUGUGUGGACACUUUCUUUUAAUUAAUUUAGAAACUAAUUCUUGAAUUUUGGACAACAAGUAAAUAAUAUAUUUUCUCUCUACAAAUUUUAAUCUUAUGGAAUUAUGAAUGUUGUAAAAAUUUUCUAUCCAUCUAGUCUCUAUUUAUAGAGAAAAAGAUGAUAAAAUUUUAGUACAAUUAUAAUUCCACAUUCAAACAAGAGUUCUAAUUAAAACUCAACUAAGAGAGUUCCAAUUUAAAUCCAAUUCUAAUUAGUUUACAUUUAAUUGCACGUGUAGUUCUAGAACUUCAAUUACAAUUACAAUUAAGUUUAUAACUUUCAUAGUAAUUACAACCAAGUACAAAACUUUAUUGUAAUUACAAUUAAGCCCAAAACUAUUAUAAUUACCGUAAUUAAGUUCCGAUACUUUAUGGAGCUAUCACAGGGGCCUGAUCGGACAUAUAUUUUUCAAGCUCCAAUAAUUAGAUCCUGUCUAGUUGACCCUAGACCACCCAAUCUAAUUAUUAACCCUUUGCUUUUUCCACUAAAGGCAAAAGACUGAACCAUUGGAAUAUAUAAGAUCACAGAAGCCAAUAAAUCUGUAAUACUUUCCUCUGACCUGUUGUAUAUGUAUUUUAUCCCCGUCUGAGAUACGAUAAUUAGGUACGAGCAUAAAUGACCGUUUUACUCCUCUAAUUAUUCUCACUAAAUUAAAUUUCAUUUUCUUCGACGGUCCUGUGAACAAAUCACAGAUGUUGAAGUUUAGUCGUCGCUAAACAAUGAGCUCAGGUUUUAACCGUUCAAGAGAAAAUACUUAAGUAAUCACUUUACUCAUUUUCAGGUUGAUGGUUCCCGACACGAAUUCAUGUUCUCUACUCCGCUAAUUCUCAAGUUUCCAACUCAUCAAGAUAUUUGACCAAUCAAAUUGAUCUCACCCAUUGAUGAAUCAAAAAACCAAAAAAAUUACGAAAAGAUAUACAUAAUUUUGUCAGUGGAUUCAGAUGAAAUACACAGUGAUCAAGUGGAAUUCAAUUCUCCACACGGUUAUGCUAUAGAAUUAAAUUCAACACGUGGUCCGUUCAAUACACUCCAAGUGUACUAGUAUCACCUUUAACUAUCUCUGUGUUAAGGACAAAUCACAAACAUGAAUAGUGAAUCGGUCAACACUAAAACCUUCCAAUCCAAGGUGUCAACCCUUACUUUGGUUAUAAACAAAUUAUUUAUGAUCAAAAUAUAACUUGCGUCUCACUGUACUUCUCAACGUAAGUACCCAACUCAUAUUAUCCCAACGCAAGUAUCCAACUCAUAUUUAUGAUCACGAGCACUUGAAUUUCGCAUGCUCAAUAGAUAAAUACAAUAAAUAGAGUAAACAUAAUUUUAUUCAAUAUAAAAAUUAUUAUUGUUAUUUUUUUACAUUAGCAAAAUUAUACUAUAUGGGCACACAACCCAACAACUAGAUGGUGUUUGGCUAUAAUGAAUGCGACUCCAUUGGAACUUCAACUUCAUUGAUGUGAUUGUGGUUGGAAGGUUUAUUGUUUGCUCAGAUUUAGUUACUUUCAACUUCACUUCAUACCUCACAUUCAAGUGGCAUAUUCAUCUCAUUUAAUCACAUUCAGGUGAACUUACAGACUUAACCAGUGCAGCAUAUGAAAUUUUCUUAAAUUUCUCUAAAUUACUCACUAAUAAAACUUGAAUUUGUUUAAUUAAUAUAUUAAUAAAAAAAUAUUUUUAAAACAUAAUUUGCCAACACAGUGGAACAAUAACAGCCUCUUGACGAGCAACUUUUUUUUAUCUGCACUCCCAUUGAAUUAUUGGAACUCAAAAGAGAGAUUGAAAAUAUAAAUAGAAAUGAAAAAGUUUACCUUUUCUUAAAAACUUAGAUCACAAAUUUGUCGUGUAAGUGAGUUCACUAUGCUUUCCAAUGGCUCAUUUAUAUUUAGACUUCUUAGCAUCCAAUUCUACGUUCCAUAACAUUACCUCAAAAAAUGAAGCUGUCUACCGAAAAAGACAAUUGACAGUGGUAGAUUUGUCAUUGAUGCACCAAUGAAUUCUUCGAGAAUGUCGUUGAAACUGGAAACCCUUUGUAAUACUCGCCAACAGAAAAGAAACCAAUUUUGUAAUACAAUUUUGACAGAUUAAGAAGAUACUUCCAAUAACUGGAAAUCUUGUCGUGACAACCAAACUAUGCAACUUUUUCAUCUUAUAUAAACAAGCCCAUAACCAAGGAAUUAAUCAAUAGCACCCCAAAUUAUUUUAUCCAGUCUCUUUUUCAUGGCUUCACCACCACCAUUUGCACUUCCUCCUAAUCUGGUUCCCGACGAGGCCAACCCUUCAUGGAUGAGCAAAGGCGACAACGCUUGGCAACUAACCGCGGCUACACUAGUCGGCUUACAGAGCGUGCCGGGCCUUAUCAUCUUAUACGGCGGCGCUGUAAAGAAGAAAUGGGCUGUGAAUUCAGCUUUCAUGGCCCUAUAUGCUUUUGCAUGCGUUCUUGUUUGUUGGGUUUGCUGGGGAUACAGACUUUCUUUCGGGGAUGAACUGAUCCCCGUUUGGGGCAAGAUUAAUGUGGCAUUAUCUCAACAUUAUUUACUUGAAAAAGGAUUUGCCGGCAAGUUUCCAAAUGCAACAAUGGUGUUUUUCCAGUUUGUUUUCGCAGCAAUUACGUUGAUUUUAAUUGCUGGUGCUGUACUGGGAAGAAUGAAUUUUUAUGCUUGGAUGCUGUUUGUUCCUCUGUGGCUUACUUUUUCUUACACCGUUGGAGCUUACACUAUUUGGUCUCUUAAUGGGUGGCUGGCGGUGAAGGGGAUGAUAGAUUAUUCCGGCGGUUAUGUUAUCCAUUUGUCCUCUGGAGUUGCUGGUUUCACGGCUGCAUAUUGGGUACGUAUGGAAACUUGAUGAUCAAGUGUUGAAUCACCUCAUCUAAAAAGCUCAUAUUUGUUUAAUUUUCAAUUCAAAUCCUUCCACGUGUAGGGUAAGCUAAUUUUUCAACACAUACCGUUCAUGUGGAGAACAUUUUUAAAUGAGUUACAACCGUACUUUAACUGAGUACUUUUGUUGGCUAUGAUGCCACUUUACACUAUUUUAUUUAAAAACUUGAGAUAUUUGAAAGGAAACGCGUCCAUAACAGGUUAUAUUCAUCUUUCCUUUUCCUUCAAAAGCACUGGUAACGGUUAGGUAUGUGAUUUUCAGGUCGGUCCUCGUUUGGCAAAGGACAGGGAAAGAUUUCCACCAAACAACAUCCUGCUAAUGUUGGCUGGGGCAGGACUAUUGUGGAUGGGAUGGACUGGAUUCAAUGGAGGAGACCCUUAUGCUGCUAAUAUUGAUGCAUCCUUGGCUGUUUUGAACACUCAUGUUUGUGCUGCUACAAGUUUAUUAACCUGGCUUAUUCUUGAUGUUCUGGUUUUUGGAAAAGCUUCUGUAAUUGGAGCUGUUCAAGGCAUGAUCACUGGUUUAGUUUGCAUCACUCCAGCUGCAGGUAAUUCAUUUCUCGAAGCCGUCAAACCCUGUUUGAUCAAUAGCUUUCGAACACAGUAGUUCAAUGUGUCAUUGGAACACAUAAAAGUCUUAUAUUCAUGUUAAAGGACCUUUGAAGCCCCUCUAAAUUUUUAGAUGAUUCUCUCUAUAAAUAUAGUCCUGGUUGGAGUAAAUUAAAAUCAGAUUGUUAGUAGAUUUUAAUAAAAAUUAAUGAAAUGUGUGGUUGAAAAAUUGUGGGAUUAUAAAAUGUGUGGUUAAAAUUAAUUGUUGAUUUUAAUUGAGAUUUUAAUCCAUAUAAAAAAGGAGCUUUGAUUAGAUAGUUCAAUAUAAUAUAUUGAAGGUCCCAAAUUCUUAAAAAUCUGGUUCAUAUGUGAGAAGGCGAGUUAAAGUUGUACUAAUGUUCUUAGACGAGGUAAUUCAACAAACCGCACGUACCUCCAAGUUAAUUUUUCAUCAAAUGAUAGGCUUAAUGUAAUCAUAUAAAAACCAAAUUUAAGCAAUUUUGAAUAAGAAAUCAUGAUUUUCUUGAUAUAAAUGCGAGUGCAUGUGUAUAGGUGUUGUACAUGGAUGGGCAGCCAUAAUAAUGGGAAUUUGCUCGGGCUCAAUUCCAUGGUUCACAAUGAUGGUGGUACACAAGAAAUCUGAGCUUCUUCAAAAAGUCGACGACACGAUGGCGGUGUUCCACACGCAUGCCGUUGCCGGAUCCCUCGGAGGACUUCUCACCGGUUUAUUUGCAGACCCUAAAUUAUGCAAUUUGUUCUAUGCAAAGUAUGGCCAAUAUGUUGGCCUAUUCUAUGGCUUCCACAUGAAAGACUACAGCAAUGGUUUCAGACAAGUAGGACUUCAACUUCUUGGGAUGGUGUUUGUAAUAGUUUUUAACAUUAUAAGUACAAGUAUAAUAUGUCUUCUAGUACGAUUCGUCGUGCCUUUAAGGAUGACCGAGGAAGAUAUGGAGGUUGGGGAUGAAGCUGCUCAUGGCGAGGAAGCUUAUGCCAUUUGGGGCCAAGGCGAAAGGAGUGAAAAUUCACGAUUCUCAACCUAUAACGAUAUGGAAACCGGCGCAUCAAAGUCCAAGGAUCAUGUUGAAAUGACAUCAACGACGUCUUAUUAGAAGAUUUCAAUCAAGGUCUCGGACUUCGUUAAAAUUAAUGUUGUUAAAGUACUGAUCACACGUCUUUUCUUAUUUUUAUUCUCUUUGACAUUGACAUGGAAAGAAUGUCCCUUUCGCUUUAUUUUACCAAUUUCAUUGUCUGAAAGUUCAAUGUAAGUGCAGGAUGCAUGCUACGUACUCUUUAGGAUGUAAUCUAGGAAAGGUUGAAAAUAAAAUGCACUUAUUUGAACUUAUUUGAACUUAAGUGAUUACUCGUUUAUGGUUAAUUUUGAUUAUUCUAGUUUCUUGCAAUGCUAAAAGGUAGAAAUUUUUAUUUAAAACAGUACACGUGUGCUAUACGUUGAUACAUAAAUAAUUUAUAGAAAUUGUGUAUUAUUUCAAAGAACGAAAAGAUAACAAUACAAGUUCUAGAGAAUAAAGCUAACGAUUUCAAUUGACUUUGAUUUAUCUAGCCAAAUCGACUUUGAUUUAUCUAGCCUUAUCUAGUAGAACCGGUUCAUCAUGGGCCGGGAGGGCACCCAAACAAUUGUUUCACCAAACGUGAUCACACCUCCACCGAAGUAUUUUAACGAUUCAAAGGAAAACCUCUCGGCUCAACACUUUCCAACAGACAACAACAACGAUAUAGGGAGCUUCAACAUGGAUUCUUAUUGUAGCAAGAGCUCGAAAUACUGUCACUAAAUCACUAGUGAUUAAAAUCGUUAAAACUCCUACACUAACUUGUCUACGUUUGGUGAUAGAGUGCAAUAUGAGAAAGAAAUACUCAACUUUAAUCUUUAUUGACAUCAACUUUACUUGUCUCUGAAAGUUAGGAACCAACUCGAACAAUAAGUGAGAGACUGACUAUGCGCUGCUUAUAUGAAUUUUUUUGACAAAAUAUUUCAUGACUUUAUAGACGUAUACAUGGCCCUGUAAAUAUUAUUUUUUUGACUAGUGCACUAUUAGAAAUUUUAAGCAUCCGAAUAAGAAAUUACAGGUUUUAAAUUAGCACUUUUAUAACUAAUAAUAAAAAUUUAUAUAAAAGAAUUCAGCUCUGGGACUCGCCUUAUUGUUCCAAUAGUCACUGAAUCAAAACACGUAUAUAAAGAUAAUAAGCGGCUAUUUUCCCCCAGUUGUUUCCCUUUUUUACUUUAAUCAAAAUUUAUAUAAAAGAAUUCAGCUCUGGGACUCGCCUUAUUGUUCCAAUAGUCACUGAAUCAAUACACGUAUAUAAAGAUAAUAAGCGGCUAUUUUCCCCCAGUUGUUUCCCUUUUUUACUUUAAUGCCCUUGAUCUGGAAGUUCAAUUGAUGAAAUUGCUUCACAUAAUUGAAGAUAUUUUAGUGCAAUUCAUCAAUACACGUUGUUACUGUGAAAUAUUUGAUGUACUUUCAUUCUCAUUUUUAAACUCCAAAGUUGGGUGCAUAAGUUCAGCAACGUCAUACAAGAGCUCAAUGAAUGUCGCGUUUUACCCGGAAGGAUCGAACCAUGGGAACGAUAUCAAACUUACCUUUUUUUUUCCCGUUAAAAAUAGAUUAUUUUUAAAAUAAGUAACUUUUUUACGUCAUGACUUAAAUAAAAAUUAAGAGACGGGAAAACAUGGGGAGACAAACAGUGAAGUAGGAAAUGAAAAGCCUAUUCACUUUUUGGUUCGUUCAACUCUGGAAUCCCAAGUCCAGGUUUGGUGCAUAAAAGCUUUAACCCCACUUAUCUUUCACACCUGUAAAUUCAUUAUUAUUUCCAUUUCUAUCAGAUCUUUCCUACAAAUGCUGCACACGCUUUUCUUUUCUUUUCUUUUUUACCAAAUAUGCCUUUGAAAUUCAAGAAUUUUUCUAAUAUCAAAUGGGAGAGGCAUUUUUUGUGUGUGAAUGUAUAUAAAUUUAAUUCUUUUGAAGAAUGUUAGUAUUCUAUUGUUUUCUUGAAAUAUUAUUGGGUUAAAUGGUUGAAAGUUCGUUCUUUUUCCAUUUUGUCCACUAGAAAAUUGAUUCUUUGAAUGUGCAUUAUAAGACCAAAGACCGACUCUUUUUGGCUCGAGGGUCAUUACUGAAUUUAUGUGUUUAUUGAUGUGUGUGGAUUCUAUGUGCUCAUAAAGAUUAUGGCUUUAUUUAUUUUAUUUUUUGUCCUUAUGCUUCAUUUUCAUGGGUUCCUUUCUCUUUCUGAAUGUCUUUUUGUAGGUAGUUCUAGAUGGGGUGUAAAUGGUGGAUGCCAAUACUAGACCUGUGCAGUUUUGUCUUAUUUUUGUUCCAUUUUCGCCCUCCUUAAUAAGUAUAAAUAAGGAUUACUGGUUGUGUAUUUUCUUCAUUGCAGGAACUCUUUGUUCUCACUGCAAGUGGGAUUCUUCUCCAUUGCGCAUUUAUCUGAG